AUGCACGAGCUUGCCGAGGUCGAUAGCCUCAAAGUCGAGAGCAAUCCAUUAUUUUACGAGCUUGAUGAGAUGCUAGCCGAGUCAGAGUCCAAGGACGACAUGCCAUGCAGUUGGUCCACUGCCAACGACAACGAGGCCGGCCCCUCCCACUUUCCGGGGGAAGGUGCAUCAACAGGUGUUAAUGCAAGUAACACUGGGCAGCGACUGCCUUCCUGCAGAAAAGGCAAGGGUCCCGGGAAACAUGUCAAGUUGAAAGACAACAAAGGGGCUACUGGGUUGGGGAGAGUUCAGACACCAGUUGGCGUAUUUGAAGAUGGAUGUAUUUUCUGCCAUUCAUUCAGAACCAGCGAGCCGAAGGAUUUUCCCAAUGACAAGGGAAACCCUACCAACGCCGUCUAUGCCCACGAGAAAUGCAUCGUUUGGGCCCCAAGAGUGCAAUCCAGCAGUGGCGGUACUUCUAAGAACGUGGAGAAUGAAAUCAAGCGUGCUUCAAGAUGGGAAUGCAGCAGAUGCAACCUUCGGGCAGCAGCGCUUGGUUGUUAUUACGGCCACUGCCGCAAAACUUAUCAUGUCCCAUGUGCAAUGAUGAUACCAGAAUGCCGCUGGGAUGUUGAGGGUCGCCAUGUUUGGUGCCCCAAUCAUGCACCGCGUGAUGAUAUGAGCUCACCAACAAUGGAGAGUGACAUCGUCCUUCAAGUAGAUCAGCUGAACACCUCAAGUUCUUCCUUGUCUCAGGGCCAAUGUUCGGAGAAAGAAAGAAUUUCUUCCAAUUACCGAAGAGAACAAAACCUACAAAAUCAGUCUAGCACCCUGGUGAAUCAACGCGUUUUGCUUGGUAUAUCUUUAAGUGCAUCAGAAGAGGAUUCCUUGAAGGAAUUUGCAUCCUUGACCAAUUCAACCUUGGUUGAGGAUUGGGACAAAAAGGUGACUCAUGUUAUUGUGGGCAGAAACACCGAUACCGCAUGUGUGAGAUCAUAUUCGGUCCUGAUGGCGAUACUGUAUGGGAAAUGGAUUGUCAGAGCCGGAUGGAUUGUGGAUUUCUUGGUGCAACGAAUUCCACACCCGGAAACUCCUUACGAGAUGACAUUCUAUGGGGGUUUGCACACAUCAAUUUCCGGACCAACGAAAGGAAGAGCUAGAGCUGCUGAAGGGGCACCAAAACUGUUCUCAGGACUGAAUUUCUGCUUCAGCGCCUACCUGCACUUUGAAGACUUAGAGGAGUUCCAGAAUCUCACAGCAGCUGGUGGAGGGCUAGCGAUCCAGGGAGUCAGCCCAGACUCGUUACCUGAGAUCAGGAACAGAUUUCCCGGGAAGGUGUACUUCAUCUACCACGGCGGACCUCCAAGGGACUCCACUCGGUAUUUCGAUCGUGUCCACCGGAAGCAGAUAGAGGAGUGCGUCGAGUAUGGGAAAUCAGGAGCACAGGUGAUCAGCCACCUGAUGCUGUACGAUGCUAUCCUGUCCUAUGACGCGCGGAUCCUGGAACCCGGACGGUCUUUUCACGAAUAUAUGUGA
rnacentral:rRNA from 1 species